rnacentral:rRNA from 1 species
UACAGAGGUCUCAAGCGUUGUUCGGAUUCAUUGGGCGUAAAGGGUGCGUAGGUGGUGGGGUAAGUCGGAUGUGAAAUCCCGGGGCUCAACCCCGGAACUGCAUUCGAAACUGCCUUGCUCGAGUACUGGAGAGGAGACUGGAAUUUACGGUGUAGCAGUGAAAUGCGUAGAUAUCGUAAGGAAGACCAGUGGCGAAGGCAAGUCUCUGGACAGUUACUGACACUGAGGCACGAAGGCCAGGGGAGCAAACGGG